GCCGACCAACGGUGAGUCGGACAGCAAGCACUCUUUGCUACGCGCGCGCUCGGGCCACACACCACUUCGCUCUCGGCUUGUUUGUGGGUCAUGUUUGUAACUGUGCGUCUGUACUCGCAACAACGCCGCCAGCCGGUCCACCUUCCACAGUCGACGACGUCUUGAGGGACUCGAGAUUGCAGUGCUCCUUUUCUCUUGAUUUCAUUGUUUUCGUGAAUACACUCGUGAGCCGCCUGUUUUGCUCGCUCGGCCCGCCACUGUGACUUUCUCCCCUCUCGCCAACUCUCACCUGCGUGUGUGUGUUUUUGUGUUUGUGCGAGUGCCGGCUCGCCUGCCUAUUUCGCCGUACUCGUUCCCCUGUUCUCUCCGGUGUCAUCGCGACACGAAGCUUUGAUCAACCAGCAGCGACUCGAACGUGCGUUUCAUCAUGUAUUACGGGUUUCUCACUCUCAUUCUGGUAGCCUGCAUCACUCCCCACGGCAUCUCUGCGGCCUACUAUGGCAAGGCUCUCGGACCGGUAAUAAUGAAAGCGCACGGCUUUAGUGGUGACGUGUACGCAGCCAGUGAAAACAGCAUCGUCAUCAGGAACCUCAACUACGACGGCAAUGGUCCCGCGGCGUACUUCUGGGGUGGAUUCAACUCGGAUUUAGACAACAACGGCGAACAGCUGCCCGACGAAAAUGGCAGUAUGAACGUUCUCAAGGGCUACCAGAAUGCAGAGGUCCACCUGAGGUUGCCAAAGAAGAUCACCGACUACAAGUCUAUCGGCAUCUAUUGCAAAAAGUUCGCGGCCGACUUCGGCAACGUCAAGAUUCCAGCCGGUUAUGAGCUCCCCAGAGAGGAGAGCCUGGGCAGGCUUAACCCCAGGCAGCACAAUACGAUGGCCUCCGAGGUUAUCCUCAAGGACAGUGCUACUGUGAUGCUCAGGCAGUUCGACUAUAUGGGCAAUUGCCCAGGAUCUGCCUACUUCGUGGCGGCCCCCACUCCCAACCCCCAGCCGGAACAGCUGACCCGCCUCACGUGCGACGAUGGAAAGAUGAGCAAGCUGGAACGAUACGACAAGAAGGACGUGACUGCUAUGCUGCCCACUGGCCGCCACUGGAACGAGUACAGGUGGUUCUCGGUCUACUGUAUGGACACAAAACAGAGCUACGCCGACUUGAGCAUCGAUCCGUCCAUCACAGAGAAACUGCCCCUCUACGACCCUAGCUCGUCGGGUCAUCACUCGGCGUCAGGUUCCAUGUACGAUCCCCUCUCGGCACUUUCUACAUUCGGUAUGAGCCUCGUCGUGCUGCUGGCAGCUGUCGCAUUUCAGCGAUGAAACGGUCCCUACCAUCAAGUGAAGAUUUCGGGAAGUCGGCUGCUUUCAACGGUUCCAGUGCACCAUGGAUCGUGUUCGUGCAUGCAACCAGCCAUCAACUGCAGCUGAGUGAUGAACGUAUAGGUCAAGACGCAUCAUGGACAGCUUGCAUAUACGAGACGGACUGUGGUGAUGCUUACAUAUUUGUGCAACCGCGAAUAAAAUGCUCUCAUUGAGGGCGUAUUUUUUAUGUAUA